UACAGAGGUCUCAAGCGUUGUUCGGAUUCAUUGGGCGUAAAGGGUGCGUAGGCGGCGCGGUAAGUCGGGUGUGAAAUCUCCGGGCUUAACCCGGAGCGGCCAAGUGAUACUGUCGUGCUAGAGUGCGGAAGGGGCUACUGGAAUUCUCGGUGUAGCGGUGAAAUGCGUAGAUAUCGAGAGGAACACCUGCGGCGAAGGCGGGUAGCUGGGCCGACACUGACGCUGAGGCGCGAAAGCCAGGGGAGCGAACGGG
rnacentral:rRNA from 1 species